GCAAGGGGGAAGCCCCGGGGGGCUGCCCCUACCCUGUAACCGCAAAUGGGGCUUAUGGCGGGGGGCGUUAACCUUGGGGGCGCCUGGUCCUCUUCACGAAACGGCCUAGAUGCUGGAAUGUUGAAUCUCAGUCCCGUGGGGCGUUCCGUGGUGCUAGGCUUCUCGGAGGAGGAGCCGAAGCACCGUUUAAGCCGAAGCGGGUUAGGCCCGGAAGGGAGCGGCCCUAAGGCUUACGGGGCGCGUUCACGGGGGUACUGGGAGGAGUUCCAGCAUCUAGGUACGUCGUGAAUGACAGGCCACCUCAAGGGAUGCCCUUGC
rnacentral:SRP_RNA from 1 species